UUCUUUUAGAUACCUUAAAGUAUCUCUCUGUUUCCAGAGAUUGUGAUUUAUCUCCACCUCUACCUCGAUAUAACACUGUCCUCGGGAGUCAAAAA